rnacentral:rRNA from 3 species
GGUGGCGAUUAUUCUGGACUUGCCCCACCUGUUCCCAUUCCGAACACAGAAGUGAAAUAGUCCAAGGCCGAUGAUAGUGGUUUUACCGCGAAAGUAGGUAGUCGCCACCC